CUCUUAUCAAGAGCGGCGGAGGGAUAGGCCCGAUGAAGCCCGGCAACCUGCAGGAUCAGUCUGUAAAGGUGCCAAUUCCUACAGAUUCCAUGUGGAUCUGGAAGAUAAGGG
rnacentral:ncRNA from 2 species